UGGGGAAUAUUGGGCAAUGGGCGAAAGCCUGACCCAGCAACGCCGCGUGAAGGAAGAAGGCUUUCGGGUUGUAAACUUCUUUGACAGGGGAAGAGUAGAAGACGGUACCCUGAAAACAAGCCACGGCUAACUACGUGCCAGCAGCCGCGGUAAUACGUAGGUGGCAAGCGUUGUCCGGAUUUACUGGGUGUAAAGGGCGUGCAGCCGGGAAGGCAAGUCAGAUGUGAAAUCCGUGGGCUUAACCCACGAACUGCAUUUGAAACUGCUUUUCUUGAGUAUCGGAGAGGUAAUCGGAAUUCCUAGUGUAGCGGUGAAAUGCGUAGAUAUUAGGAAGAACACCAGUGGCGAAGGCGGAUUACUGGACGACAACUGACGGUGAGGCGCGAAAGCGUGGGGAGCA
rnacentral:rRNA from 1 species